AACGAACGCUGGCGGCAGGCCUAACACAUGCAAGUCGAGCGCGCCUUUCGGGGUGAGCGGCGGACGGGUUAGUAACGCGUGGGAAUAUGCCCUUUGGUACGGAAUAGCCUCUGGAAACGGAGAGUAAUACCGUAUGAGCCCUUCGGGGGAAAGAUUUAUCGCCAAAGGAUUAGCCCGCGUUAGAUUAGGUAGUUGGUGGGGUAAUGGCCUACCAAGCCUACGAUCUAUAGCUGGUUUUAGAGGAUGAUCAGCAACACUGGGACUGAGACACGGCCCAGACUCCUACGGGAGGCAGCAGUGGGGAAUCUUCUGCAAUGGGCGCAAGCCUGACAGAGCGGCGUCAUGUGAAGGAAGAAGGCCUGAAAUAGGUUGUAAACUUCUUUUACUGAGUAAUGAAUACUGACAACGCAGUAAAAAGUAUCGGCUAACUCCGUGCCAGCCGCCGCAGUAAAAC
rnacentral:rRNA from 1 species